AUUUUUUAAACUUCUGCACCAGAUUUUCCUGCUUCUGCCCCAGUAUUCCGGAAACCUGCCCCUAUUUCUGCCCCGACCUGCGGUGUCUGCCCAGACAAGAUCUCGUCGAAGAAUGCCACAUUUUGCAGACUGGACCAGGACUGAUUUAGUGUGGUGAUCACCCAGCUAUAUCACUAUUGUUAGCAGGAUGAUUGGUGUACCUACCUAUGUAUGGAUGGAUGUAUGGAUCAACUUCAUGAUUUGCCAGCUGAUUUGGUUAUCAGUAUUGUGAUCAGCCAGCUGACAGCCUUUUCAAAAAGUUGUUCAGCCAGCUGACUGCAUAAUCAUUUUCAUGAUAAACCAUAGGGCUGUUCGGGUGCUGCAAAAUAUUUUGCGCGACUGUGACAUCACACUUGUAUGAUGUCACUGCCCAUCCCGUCGAGCAAAAUCUUUCGCAGAACGCACCGAACACCUCAACAUAUUUUGCGCGAGACAAUCGUGCCGCUCCAUUCCAGCAAGCAGCGACGUAAUAACUAAUGAAAAACUUCACCAACCCAUUUCCAAUUUAUGCACCGACAAAAUAACACCAAACACUGCAUAAAUUCACUAUAGUUAACACUGCACACUUCGCCACUGUACGUUGUCUGCGCCAAGUCUGCACCACUUUUGCCUCCUGCAUCCUGAAAUUUUAGGAUGCGCGAAGCUGAAAGAUUUUGCAGAUGCCGAUGUCACACAUGUGACGUCAUACGGUGGUGGGCGGAGCAUAAGGCCUGAAAGGUCCCUACUGCGCAUGCAUGCUGCAAAAUUUUACAAUAGGAUGUGCGGGCCGAACAGCCCUCAUCAUGGAGGGCAUCUUUUCCUUAUCAUGUUUUUGAUUGUGUUUGGGAUCUGGCUACAGGAAGAAGCUGAGGUUGAGACUGAGGCCUGGUGCUUGGAUGAUCAGGGUGAGAAAGGCUCUACAGCAAAAACUGAAGACAGUAGCCGGGAGAAAAUAGCACGUUUCUUGCUUCGAUUGCAAUGUGAGCAUGGGAUGUCACGGGCUGCAACAUCUUUCGUGGCUAGUGAGAUAGGAGAAAUCGUCGACACCGCUCUUAAGGAGCAGAAUGAGAGCAGAGCAUCAAAGUCGUCUUCAGUUAAGCAGGCUUGUGAAGAGUUUGCAAGCGAGUAUAAAUUGAGCAAAUUCUGCCAUGAGGAGCUCUGCUACAUUGCACCUACGACUCAGAUCCUUACCACAGGGGGUGGUGAAUUCCAAUCCAGCUAUCAGUAUGUGGAUGUCAAGAAACAGCUGACAAGUCUCUUGGAAAAUGGCAGGCUGGAAAACUGCAAACGGGACAGAUUGGUCAAGCUUGUGCUCUACUUUGAUGAAUUUGGUGUGUGUAACCCUCUGCGGAAGAAAGCAUCUGAUUAUAGUCUGGGUGGUUGCUAUUUUGCGGUCGAUGAGGGCUUGUCAAUGUCGGUGCUGAGUGACAUUCAUCUCCUCCUACUAUGUCCUACAAAACUCAUCAAGCUUCAUGGUUUGAACACAGUCAUGAAGCCUGUGACAGAUUCCCUGUGUGACCUCUUGAACAAUGGCCUGGAUACUUGUGGCACUCAUUUUGAUAUCAAAGUGGAGUUUGUGUGUGGUGACAACCUGGGAGUGCAUAAGAUGGCGGGCUUCCAGGAAUCAUUUUCGUCAGGGCAGCGACCAUGCCGAACAUGCCACGCCACAAAUGAGGACUUUGGUACAAAGCUCACAGAGCAAGAGCUGACCCUUCGUACUGAGGAGGAGUACCAAGAAGAGCUGAACAUGUGUGAGAAUGGAGACAAUGAGGAAUCUCGAAAAGCAUUUGGUAUCAACUCAAAAUGUGUGUUUGAUGAGCUGAAAGACUUUAAGGUCACAGAGAUGUUUCCACCAGAUAUCGCGCACGAUCUGUUUGAAAGUGGCGUAGUCAAUCAUUCCUUGGCUCUGGUGCUAUCAUACCUGAUUUUUCAAAUCAAACUCUUCACAUUCGCCUCAGUUCAAAAGGCUAUGAAAUCCUUCUCAUAUGCGAGAGUCGACAAAGCGAACACUCCUCCCAUGCUUCAAGCAAAGGGGCGCAAAGUGCUCGUCAAAGGCACUUUCAGUCAGUGCUGGACUUUCCUCCGAGUUCUCCCUUUCAUGAUCGGUCCACUGGUCCCACCAGAUCAAAAGGCGUGGCUUCUUGUGACCGGUUUGCUUUCUCUUGUACAACUCAUUUGUGCUCCACGUAUGGACGGUGAAAUUCUUGCAAGAAUGCAACCUUCAGUAGAGCAGUGGCUGCGUGAGUUCUGUGGAAUGUUCCCGGACUUCAAAAUCAAGCCGAAGUUCCACUACUUAUUACAUUACCGGCACUGGGCAGCACAAAUUGGUUCCUUGAGGAAAGCUUGGACUAUGCGUUUUGAAGCUAAACACCAGCAGUUCAAGAUCUACGCAUCUCGAGCACACAACACCAAGAACAUUUGUAAAACCCUCGCAGUGCGACACCAAGAAGCGGUAGCUGCAUGCGAAGGAAAGCAAAAGAAGAUGAUGGGGAAGAAAUGCAAGCCAUGCCUAGUUACAGGUGCAUUCGGAUGGGAGGUGGAUGACCGAGCUACGUACACCAAGAUGGCAGUGCUUGCGGGACAGAAGUACUGCGUCGAUGAUGUGCUGAUCGUGAGAAACCCGGCUGCUUCAAGCUCAGAGAGCUGUGAUCUUCUUCGCGUAGCAUAUUUUCAGUUUGAUGCAGUAAACCAUGUCAAAAUCAUCGGUGACGUCUUGAGGGCGCUUUCGUUUGAUGAGCACUAUAUGGCAUACCGUGUGACUAAGGGCGAGAUGAUGAUGAUCCCUUCUGCUUGGAUUUUUGACCCCACUCCGCUGGCUACUUAUUCAGUGCAGACCGCAAAAUACGUGCCCCUCAGGUACCAGAUACCAGGUCUCCGAAUCACCUCUGAAAGCGGUCAACGAUGAAGGCGCUAGUAAACCAUCGAAGUGCUGCGCGCGUCUUCGAAUUCGAGUCUGUCCUGGACCUUGUUCAAAAGGUUCGAGCGUUCUUCGGUCUGCAGGGUGGCGAAUGGGAUCUGGAGAUCUAUGAUGACGACUGGUCCUCGUGGGUCCUGCUGAAUGAGGAAGAUGCGAUAACUGGUGCUCGGCCUCGCAUCAGGACCGUCAUGCGUGGCGAUCUGGUUGUUCUUGAAAGCACUGGGACGACAUCCACUUCGUCAGUGGUGGUUUCGCAGCUGGAUACACCGGAGCCUCCAACGUCGCCCGAACUCCGUCGAUCAGGGGAAGACGCAGAGAUCCGGCCGAAGUCGGGAAGCGACGCUCUGGCCGAAUCUCAACAAACCGCAGGAGUGUCUCGGAUGGAUACUAUGGAAGUCCUGGAUGCCAUGGAAGUGAUCCGGUUUGACGACAGCCAGCUGAGACCUGGACUCCUCGAAAAGCUUCGAAGCAAAAAGCCCGGCUCACCUCUGACCAGGACGGAGUGGAGCGAAGUGACGACAGUCAUCGUGACGUUCGAGAAAGCUUGUAACAGUCGCAGGUCAAAGCAAAAAUACAAUGGCGCGUAAGGAAUGAGAAGCGACGAGACGACGGAAGUGAUGCCGAACUCCAAGCGUCAUCAAAGAGGUUGUCACGCGGAAAAACAUUCAAGGGAUCGCGAUAUGAAGGAUUCGAAGGCUACAAGGAGUACCUUCCGCCUAUGCCGGAGGAAGACGUUCAGCAUCUGAGAAACCGCCUCUUGAAGCAUCUACACGAGGCUAACCUGACGAGCGAAGGCAAAGCUGAGCGAGAGGCCCUGAUCAACUCGACGUUCGCAGACAGGCGCAGGCAUGUGGUGACGCUCCGCACCAGCAUGCGCAAGCUUUUGGAGCUGUAUCCAAUCUUGCGGAACCCAGACGAAAUCUGGCGUGAGCUGGCCAAACUGGAGGGGGAGACGGAGUCGUCUAAGCUUGGUGACUACAGGCGCCGCCUGAGCGACUUUCUCACCGCCAUCCAACUGAUCACAGAAUGUCAAGACACCGACUGCGUGGAGUCUCUCCUCUACUACCUAGACGCGAACCCCGAGGACAUCUUUGAGGGAUCAGGAAGCGCGCCGCACUACCAGGUCAACGACGACGGGUCCAUCGGCCUUUUCGUCGAGGGGGUCUGCUUGACAAGGUCGGUGGACCGGAGCAGCAAGGCUGAUCUCCUGCUUCUGUGGGCAGCGAUUUUCCCAGUGUUCAACCAGAAGUGCCCCGUGUCUAAGGCUAAGAACGCUCUGAUAUUUAUCACGGUGAACAUCUUUGAAAAGGGGGGCAACCAAACUCUUUCCAACCGUGUCCUGGGACGAGUCCAGCGUCUCAAGCAGCUCUGUGCGUAGCUCUGUGAGUAGCUUAGAACGGAACCUGAGAACGGAACGCCUUUGCCGCUCGGCUGUUAACACUUUCAAACCGUGUGACACGUCCAGCGUCUCGAGCAGCUCUGUGAGUAGCUGAGCACAGAACUUGAUAACGGAAUGUCUUUUCCGCUCGGCAGUUAACCCUUCGAACCGCGCCCUGGGACAUGUCCAGAGUCUCAAGCAUCUCUGUGCGUAGCUCUGUGCCUAUAGCUUAGAACGUAACUUUAGAACGGAGCGCCUUUGCCGCUCGGCAGUUUCCUACAGAAGAUUACUUUUUUAGGUUCAUUUUUAGUACAAUAAGAGAAAUAUUACUGUAUGCAGUUGUAAGCUUGCUGAAAGGAGCUUGAAUGCAGUUUUGAAUAAACAUGUUUGAUGAGUUUAA
rnacentral:misc_RNA from 1 species